rnacentral:rRNA from 1 species
UACGUAGGGGGCAAGCGUUGUCCGGAUUUAUUGGGCGUAAAGAGCGUGUAGGCGGCCAAGCAGGUCAGCUGUGAAAACUCGAGGCUCAACCUCGAGACGUCGGUUGAAACCGCUUGGCUAGAGUCCGGAAGAGGAGAGUGGAAUUCUCGGUGUAGCGGUGAAAUGCGUAGAUAUCGAGAGGAACACCUGCGGCGAAGGCGGGUUGCUGGGCCGACACUGACGCUGAUGCGCGAAAGCCAGGGGAGCGAACGGG